rnacentral:lncRNA from 1 species
GCUGGUGCCGGCGUCCCGCCGCGGCACGGGCGGGGGCAGGCUGUGCCGCAGGGACUCCGGCAGGGCCGAGGCGUUGAGGCUCUUCUCCAGCCACACCAGCGGCAUCACCCAGGACACGGCGCCCGGGGCCAGCUCGGGUGAGGGCGUGGGGGUGGCCGCCGGCUCCGGCCCCGCCGGCUCUGACCCACCCACCUCGGCCAGAGAGGGCCCAGGGGGGUCCUGCUCCGGCGGGGAGGGGGUUGGGGACGCGGGUCCCCUGGGGGAGGGACCGGCACCCCCAUCGCUGCCCGGGUGCUCGGGUGCCACGGGGCUGCAGGAGAGGUUGGCGGGCGCCGUGGGGCUGCAGGAGAGGUCACCGGGCGCCGCUCGCCACCCGCGGAAGGGGGCUUCUCCCUGCGGGGUGGAGCUGGUGCCGGGGGGCCCCGGGGUGCAGGGCACCGGGGUGGGGCUGCCAGGGGAGCCCAGCGGGGUCCUGCCGGGGGGCCUUGGGGUGCAGGGCCCCGAGGGGGUGCUGCCGGGGGGCUCCAGGUUGCAAGGCCCCAGAGGGGUGCUGCCGGGGGGCUCCAGGGUGGCAUUGCCAGGGUGCUCCGGUGUGCAGGGCCCUGGCAUGCUGCUGCCGGGGGGCUCCAGGGUGGCAUUGCCAGGGUGCUCUGGAGUGCUGAGCUCUGGGGCGAUGCUCUCAUGGGGCUCCAGGCUGCAGGGCCCCAGGGUGGCAGUGCCAGGGGGCUCUGGGGUGGUGCUGCCAGCAGGCUGCAGGGUGUCACUGCUGGGGGGCUCCAGGCUGCAGGGCCCUGGGGUGGCACUGCCAAGGGGGGGCUCUAGGGCCCUGGCACUGCCAGGGGGCUCUGGGGUGCACGGCCCCAGGGUGGUGUUGCCGGGGGGUCCUGGGGUGCAUGGGCCCGGGGUGGUGCUGCCGGGGGGUCCUGGGGUGCAUGGCCCCGGGGUGCAUGGCCGCAGGGGGGUGCUGCCGGGGGGCCCCGGGGUGCACGGCCCUGGGCUGGUGCCAUCAUGGUCCUGCCGGACACGGUGGGGGUGGAUGUCAGGACUGCCCCAACCCCCCCCUGCUGCUCCCCCCAUUAUCCCCAGUUCCCCACCCCAGU